UUUUACCCUAAUCUCAGAUAACAAGUUUUGGUAUUUCUGUCCCGUUAGCAUAAAAUGAUUCUGUUGAACUGUAUGGGUUGAUGAAUCUUUGGUUUUGGUAUUGAGCUGAAAAUACCUCUUUGGUAUUUCUGUCCCGUUACAGUUAAAAAAUGGUUUUAUUAGGAAGCAUUAGCACCAAAUUAUAUAGCAUUCAAAUUCUGCUAGUUAAUAGAAAUUAACAAGCUGGGCUAAUUAUAUACUUUUGUAAAUGUUACAAGCAUACAUGAAAACUCACUAACCUUCUCAGGUUGUAAUGAUCUUAGAUAAUCCAACAAAUCAUUCUUUUCCUCUCCAACAAACUGUUGCAUCUGCAAGGCAGAAUUUCUCCUCUUGAUAUCACGCAGCUCCGCUGGAUGAAUCAACAAGUUUCUGUGUAGGUAAAAUGAAAGAAAAAUCAUGACAGCCGGCUCAUCAUCAGCAUCAUCUUUCACUCGACGACACAUGAACGACGAGCAAUGUGAAGCUCCCCACAUAUUAUGUUAUCGUGGGUUACGAGCUAUUCUCCAGACAUCAUGGACGGAAUCCAACCCAGGACGCGAUUUUUUUCAUGUCCAAAUUUUAGAGAAAGGGAAUGUGGCUUUUUCUUAUGGCAUGACCCAGAACUGUUAGAGAGAAGUAAGACAAUUAUUAAUGAGUUGAAGAGGAAUAAUAAAAAUUAAAGUUACAGAUUAGUAAAUUGGAGAAAAGUAUUAGCUACAAGGGUGCUGUUGAAUACAAUGAUGUUCUUGAUGAUGAGAAUAACAAUCAUGUAAUUAUGCAGUUCAAUGACGAAAUAUAUUCAUUGAAUAGGAAAUUUGGAGUUGCUAUCGUUGUAGUUAUAUGUACCUAGAUUGUGAUGAUGUGGAUGUGGUUGAUGUAACUUAUUUUGUGAUGUAACUUGACAUUUGGAUGUAACUCUAAGUGAUGUAACUUGUUUUGUUAUACAAAGUGAACUAGUUCUGUUAUGAUUUUUA